UUGAGGGCAAGUCUGGUGCCAGCAGCCGCGGUAAUUCCAGCUCCAAUAGCGUAUAUUAAAGUUGUUGCAGUUAAAAAGCUCGUAGUUGAAUUUCGGGGUCAGUAGGUUGGUCGUGCCACCGGUACGUACUGGUCUCACUGAUUCCUCCUUCCUGAUGAGCUGUAAUGCCAUUAAUUUGGUGUUGCAGGGAAUCUGGACUGUUACUUUGAAAAAAUUAGAGUGUUUAAAGCAGGCUAACGCUUGAAUACAUUAGCAUGGAAUAAUGAAAUAGGACGUUCGAUCCUAUUUUGUUGGUUUCUAGGAUUGACGUAAUGAUUAAUAGGGAUAGUUGGGGGCAUUAGUAUUCAAUUGUCAGAGGUGAAAUUCUUGGAUUUAUUGAAGACUAACUACUGCGAAAGCAUUUGCCAAGGAUGUUUUCAUUAAUCAAGAACGAAAGUUAGGGGAUCGAAGACGAUCAGAUACCGUCGUAGUCUUAACCAUAAACUAUGCCGACUAGGGAUCGGAUGAUGUUAAUUUUUUAAUGACUCAUUCGGCGCCUUACGGGAAAC
rnacentral:rRNA from 1 species